rnacentral:rRNA from 1 species
UACGGAGAGAGCUAGCGUUGUUCGGAAUUACUGGGCGUAAAGCGUGUGUAGGCGGUUCGGAAAGAAAGAUGUGAAAUCCCAGGGCUCAACCUUGGAACUGCAUUUUUAACUGCCGAGCUAGAGUAUGUCAGAGGGGGGGUAGAAUUCCACGUGUAGCAGUGAAAUGCGUAGAUAUGUGGAGGAAUACCGAUGGCGAAGGCAGCCCCCUGGGAUAAUACUGACGCUCAGACACGAAAGCGUGGGGAGCAAACAGG